UAGGGAGCUUGCUCCCGGAUGUUAGCGGCGGACGGGUGAGUAACACGUGGGUAACCUGCCUGUUUGACUGGGAUAACUCCGGGAAACCGGAGCUAAUACCGGAUAGUUCCUUGAACCGCAUGGUUCAAGGAUGAAAGACGGUUUCGGCUGUCACUUACAGAUGGACCCGCGGCGCAUUAGCUAGUUGGUGAGGUAACGGCUCACCAAGGCGACGAUGCGUAGCCGACCUGAGAGGGUGAUCGGCCACACUGGGACUGAGACACGGCCCAGACUCCUACGGGAGGCAGCAGUAGGGAAUCUUCCGCAAUGGACGAAAGUCUGACGGAGCAACGCCGCGUGAGUGAUGAAGGUUUUCGGAUCGUUAAGCUCUGUUGUUAGGGAAGAACAAGUGCAAGAGUAACUGCUUGCACUUUGACGGUACCUAACCAGAAAGCCACGGCUAACUACGUGCCAGCAGCCGCGGUAAUACGUAGGUGGCAAGCGUUGUCCGGAAUUAUUGGGCGUAAAGGGCUCGCAGGCGGUUUCUUAAGUCUGAUGUGAAAGCCCCCGGCUCAACCGGGGAGGGUCAUUGGAAACUGGGAAACUUGAGUGCAGAAUUGGAGAGUGGAAUUCCACGUGUAGCGGUGAAAUGCGUAGAGAUGUGGAGGAAGACCAGUGGCGAAGGCGACUCUCUGGUCUGUAACUGACGCUGAGGAGCGAAAGCGUGGGGAGCGAACAGGAUUAGAUACCCUGGUAGUCCACGCCGUAACGAUGAGUGCUAAGUGUUAGGGGGUUUCCGCCCCUUAGUGCUGCAGCUAACGCAUUAAGCACUCCGCCUGGGGAGUACGGUCGCAAGACUGAAACUCAAAGGAAUUGACGGGGGCCCGCACAAGCGGUGGAGCAUGUGGUUUAAUUCGAAGCAACGCGAGAACCUUACCAGGUCUUGACAUCCUCUGACAACUCCUAGAGAUAGGGCUUUCCCUUUCGGGGACAGAGUGACAGUGGUGCAUGGCUUGUCGUCAGCUCGUGUCGUGAGAUGUUGGGGUUAAGUCCCGCAACGAGCGCACCCUGAUCUAGUGCCAGCAUUCAGCUGGCACUU
rnacentral:rRNA from 1 species